rnacentral:snRNA from 1 species
AAGUGCUUACAGCUAGCUCUUCUUGAAUUUGUCUAGCAGGUCUAGUUUUUACAGGAAGGCCCUA